UACGUAGGGGGCAAGCGUUGUCCGGAAUCAUUGGGCGUAAAGCGCGCGUAGGCGGCCCGGUAAGUCCGCUGUAAAAGUCCAGGGCUCAACCCUGGAAAGCCGGUGGAUACUGUCGGGCUCGAGUCCGGAAGAGGCGAGUGGAAUUCCUGGUGUAGCGGUGAAAUGCGCAGAUAUCAGGAGGAACACCGAUGGCGAAGGCAGGUCUCUGGGCCACUACUGACGCUGAGAAGCGAAAGCAUGGGGAGCGAACAGG
rnacentral:rRNA from 1 species